UUGCAUCAUAAGCGGAGGAAAAGAAACCAACAGGGAUUGCCUCAGUAACGGCGAGUGAAGCGGCAAAAGCUCAAAUUUGAAAUCUGGUACCUUUGGUGCCCGAGUUGUAAUUUGAAGAUAGUUUUCUGGUGCUGGCCCUUGUCUAUGUUCCUUGGAACAGGACGUCACAGAGGGUGAGAAUCCCGUCUGGCGGGGUGUCCAGUGCUUUGUAGAUUUCUAUCGACGAGUCGAGUUGUUUGGGAAUGCAGCUCUAAGUGGGUGGUAAAUUCCAUCUAAAGCUAAAUAUUGGCGAGAGACCGAUAGCGAACAAGUACAGUGAUGGAAAGAUGAAAAGAACUUUGAAAAGAGAGUGAAAAAGUACGUGAAAUUGUUGAAAGGGAAGGGUAUUAGAUCAGACUUGGUGUUUUGUGAUUAUCUUCCCUUCUUGGGUUGUGCACUCGCAUUUCACUGGGCCAGCAUCGGUUCGGGUGGUAAGAUAAUGACAUUGGAACGUGGCACUGCCUUCGGGUGGUGUGUUAUAGCCCUUGUUGAUGUUGCCUAUCUGGACCGAGGACUGCGGCUUUUGCCUAGGAUGCUGGCGUAAUGAUCUAACACCGCCCGUCUUGAACACGGGACCA
rnacentral:rRNA from 1 species